UGCCGCAUGGCAUGUGGGAUUUUCCCAGACCAGGGAUCGAACCUGUGUUCUCUGCAUUGGCAGGUGGGAUUCUCAACCAUUGGACCACCAGGGAAGCCCUCUCCUUUCCUUUUUAUCUUGGCAAAUGCCAUCUACACAAAAAUAGAGAGGAUAGUAUGAUGAGCCCUCAUGCGCCCAUCACUUUGCUCCAAAAGUCAAGUAUUUGCAGCUGCACCUUCCCUGUAAGGGCAGGUCUCCCCUCAUCAGGUACCAUGUGUCCAGGAUGCUGGGAGACCAAUGUCUCAAGCAGUGGGGGGAACAAAGGAGCAUUUAGCCCCCCUCUUCAGAGGUACCAUGAAGCUCACUCCCUUCUGGUGGCCCAGGCUUCCCCCUGGCAUUAGCCUUACCCCAGUCAUUCUAUUUGCAGAAAGUACCAGCCAUGCAGGUGGAAGAGGUCCUUCAAGUACACACCUACAGAUAAUCAGCUGGGCUCCCAUUGUCAUAGAUGACUGGAAUCACUGUCUUCAUUUGGAGUCUUCCUUAUUCAUCCUUGAGUGGUAACUUCCACUGUCUGGGAAAACAAGCAAGCCAGAGUCUGGGAGCACUGUCCACUUCUCCUGGGCCUCGGAGCUGCCUGUUGUGAGACCUGCACGCCCAUCUCUCCACAGGCAGCUGUUACAAGUAGUGGGAAAGCUCUCAGAACUCUUGGUCCAUGCCUGGUUAGCACCGCGGAGCUCCAAACAGAGAACACCUGCGUCUUCCCUCGGGGGCUCAUCAUCCAGCUAAAAUGCCCAGGAUUGCAGGGGAGUAAGCACUGAUCACCUGGAAACAGAAAUCUCUCUCACCUUAAAAAGGAGUAAAAAGAAGAUUAAUGUUUGAAAAUAUGAUUUGGAGGAUCACUUUCAAGCUAUCACCCACAGAAAUUUUGUGUGGCUAAAGAAGAGAUUGAUAAAACAAUGUAACCCUACAGAUAAUAAAUUCUUGAAUGACAGAAGAAAAUUCCAGUGGUGCAAUUUUCCUUCCUUUCAAAUGUGCUGGGAAGUGCAUCUGGGGGCAGGCGUCUUUGUGGAACCCGUGAAACCACAGAGCAUAGACAGCAUGCUCUGUCACUCAGCCUGAGGUUUGACCUCUGCCCAGUGAACCUCAAAGUUCAGUCCUGAAACGAGAGCCCUUCCCAUUACAUUGAGCCCAAGGACCCUCUGAGGGAGGGGAAGUUGGCAGGUGCACCCUGGGCUUCUGUGUGAAUAAACA